rnacentral:rRNA from 1 species
GACGAACGCUGGCGGUGUGCUUAACACAUGCAAGUGGCGCGACGAACCAGAGCUUGCUCUGGGGCCAAGCCGCGAACGGGUGAGUAACACGUGGGUAAUCUGCCCCGAUGACCGGGACAACCCGAGGAAACUCGGGCUAAUACCGGAUGUGGCAUGUCGGCUCAAGCCGACCUGUCAAAGGUAGCUUCGGCUUCCGCAUUGGGAGGGGCCCGCGGCCCAUUAGCUUGUUGGUGGGGUCAAGGCCUACCAAGGCAACGAUGGGUAGCUGGUCUGAGAGGACGAUCAGCCACACUGGGACUGAGACACGGCCCAGACUCCUACGGGAGGCAGCAGUGGGGAAUCUUGCGCAAUGCGCGAAAGCGUGACGCAGCAACACCGCGUGAGGGAAGACGGCCUUAGGGUUGUAAACCUCUUUCAGUUGGGACGAAGGUUCAACGGUGAAUAGCCGAUUGGACUGACGGUACCUUCAGAAGAAGCUCCGGCUAACUACGUGCCAGCAGCCGCCGUAA